rnacentral:rRNA from 1 species
UACGGAGGGUGCAAGCGUUAAUCGGAAUUACUGGGCGUAAAGCGUGCGCAGGCGGUUUGUUAAGUCUGUUGUGAAAUCCCCGAGCUCAACUUGGGAAUUGCAAUGGAUACUGGCAGGCUGGAGUAUGGUAGAGGAAGGUGGAAUUCCCGGUGUAGCAGUGAAAUGCGUAGAGAUCGGGAGGAACAUCAGUGGCGAAGGCAGCCCCCUGGGAUGAUACUGACGCUCAUGCACGAAAGCGUGGGGAGCAAACAGG